rnacentral:rRNA from 1 species
GACGUAGGGCGCGAGCGUUGUCCGGAUUUAUUGGGCGUAAAGAGCUCGUAGGCGGCUUGUCGCGUCGGCUGUGAAAUCCCGCGGCUCAACUGCGGGUCUGCAGUCGAUACGGGCAGGCGUAGAGUUCGGUAGGGGAGACUGGAAUUCCCGGUGUAGCGGUGAAAUGCGUGAGAUAUCAGGAGGAACACCGGUGGCGGAAGGCGGGUCUCUGGGCCGAUACUGACGCUGGAGGAGCGAAAGCGUCGGG